CCUACGGGUGGCAGCAGUGAGGAAUAUUGGUCAAUGGACGAGAGUCUGAACCAGCCAAGUAGCGUGAAGGAUGACUGCCCUAUGGGUUGUAAACUUCUUUUAUAUGGGAAUAAAAUGUUCCACGUGUGGGUUUUUGUAUGUACCAUAUGAAUAAGGAUCGGCUAACUCCGUGCCAGCAGCCGCGGUAAUACGGAGGAUCCGAGCGUUAUCCGGAUUUAUUGGGUUUAAAGGGUGCGUAGGUGGAUUGUUAAGUCAGUUGUGAAAGUUUGCGGCUCAACCGUAAAAUUGCAGUUGAAACUGUCAGUCUUGAGUACAGUAGAGGUAGGCGGAAUGCGUGGUGUAGCGGUGAAAUGCUUAGAUAUCACGAAGAACUCCGAUUGCGAAGGCAGCUCACUGGACUACAACUGACACUGAGGCACGAAAGUGUGGGUAUCAAACAGGAUUAGAUACCCUAGUAGUC
rnacentral:rRNA from 1 species